rnacentral:rRNA from 1 species
AUUGAACGCUGGCGGCAGGCCUAACACAUGCAAGUCGAACGGUAACAGGAAGCAGCUUGCUGCUUCGCUGACGAGUGGCGGACGGGUGAGUAAUGUCUGGGAAGCUGCCUGAUGGAGGGGGAUAACUACUGGAAACGGUAGCUAAUACCGCAUAAUGUCGCAAGACCAAAGAGGGGGACCUUCGGGCCUCUUGCCAUCGGAUGUGCCCAGAUGGGAUUAGCUUGUUGGUGGGGUAACGGCUCACCAAGGCGACGAACCCUAGCUGGUCUGAGAGGAUGACCAGCCACACUGGAACUGAGACACGGUCCAGACUCCUACGGGAGGCAGCAGUGGGGAAUAUUGCACAAUGGGCGCAAGCCUGAUGCAGCCAUGCCGCGUGUAUGAAGAAGGCCUUCGGGUUGUAAAGUACUUUCAGCGGGGAGGAAGGGAGUAAAGUUAAUACCUUUGCUCAUUGACGUUACCCGCAGAAGAAGCACCGGCUAACUCCGUG